GAGUUUGAUCAUGGCUCAGGAUGAACGCUAGCGGCAGGCUUAACACAUGCAAGGCGAGGGGUAUUCUAGCAAUAGGAGAGACCGGCGCACGGGUGCGUAACGCGUAUGCAAUCUACCUUUCACAGAGGGAUAGCCCAGAGAAAUUUGGAUUAAUACCUCAUAGUAUUAUGGAAUGGCAUCAUUUUAUAAUUAAAGUCACAACGGUGAAAGAUGAGCAUGCGUCCCAUUAGCUAGUUGGUAAGGUAACGGCUUACCAAGGCGACGAUGGGUAGGGGUCCUGAGAGGGAGAUCCCCCACACUGGUACUGAGACACGGACCAGACUCCUACGGGAGGCAG
rnacentral:rRNA from 1 species